GAUGAACGCUGGCGGCGUGCCUAAUACAUGCAAGUCGAGCGAACAGACGAGGAGCUUGCUCCUUUGACGUUAGCGGCGGACGGGUGAGUAACACGUAGGUAACCUACCUAUAAGACUGGGAUAACUUCGGGAAACCGGAGCUAAUACCGGAUAAUAUUUCGAACCGCAUGGUUCGAUAGUGAAAGAUGGCUUUGCUAUCACCUAUAGAUGGACCUGCGCCGUAUUAGCUAGUUGGUAAGGUAACGGCUUACCAAGGCAACGAUACGUAGCCGACCUGAGAGGGUGAUCGGCCACACUGGAACUGAGACACGGUCCAGACUCCUACGGGAGGCAGCAGUAGGGAAUCUUCCGCAAUGGGCGAAAGCCUGACGGAGCAACGCCGCGUGAGUGAUGAAGGUCUUCGGAUCGUAAAACUCUGUUAUUAGGGAAGAACAAACGUGUAAGUAACUGUGCACGUCUUGACGGUACCUAAUCAGAAAGCCACGGCUAACUACGUG
rnacentral:rRNA from 1 species